AACGAACGCUGGCGGCAUGCCUAACACAUGCAAGUCGAACGAGACCUUCGGGUCUAGUGGCGCACGGGUGCGUAACGCGUGGGAACCUGCCCUUAGGUUCGGAAUAACUCCCCGAAAGGGGUGCUAAUACCGGAUAAUGUUUUCGGACCAAAGAUUUAUUGCCUUUGGAUGGGCCCGCGUUGGAUUAGCUAGUUGGUAGGGUAAAAGCCUACCAAGGCGACGAUCCAUAGCUGGUCUGAGAGGAUGAUCAGCCACACUGGGACUGAGACACGGCCCAGACUCCUACGGGAGGCAGCAGUGGGGAAUAUUGGACAAUGGGCGAAAGCCUGAUCCAGCAAUGCCGCGUGAGUGAUGAAGGCCUUAGGGUUGUAAAGCUCUUUUACCCGGGAUGAUAAUGACAGUACCGGGAGAAUAAGCUCCGGCUAACUCCGUG
rnacentral:rRNA from 1 species